GAUGGCCAGAGGAGGGGGACCCGGGUGGCACCGGAGCCGCAUCCACGCAGCCUCCCCGCACGCCCGCGCUCAGGAUCCGGGGUCCAGACCCCGGAAUCCCCUGCAUCGACCUGAAGGCAGAGCAUUUGCUUCCAGGAGGACUUCAGCUUCUGAUCUGCUCUUUAGGGAAGUUUUUCACUGUGAAUUAAUAAAUUGAAGUCCGGACUCCUGGUCAUGGUUAACAAGGCUGUGGGGGAUCUGACCACUCACUCCUCCACAGACCCUGGACCCCAGAUGCUGCUGAAUUGUUUGAGUUCUCUUGUUUGCAGUUACUCAUGAUGGAGGCUGAGCAGCAAAGCCUGAGUGAGGUGCAGAUGAACACAUUAGCAGGCAGUGGAAGCAUUUCUAUGGAUGGAUGUUGAGAUUAUAUGGAGACUCUGAAAACUAUCAUCUGUUGGUGGAUUCUAAUUAUGAAUGCUUGAAAUAACUUGCUUUCAGUCACCCAUAAUGUUUGGUACAAAUUAAUGCUUAUAAUUUAUAGUAUUUAAAUUAACACUUUAGAAUCCAGUACAUUAUUUAGUGAUUUUGAGAUAUUAACAGUAAGUGAAAGGAAAAUGACAGCCACAUAGUAACUAACAAUACUAUUUAUAUAAUGUUGCAAAUCUAUCAUGAGCUAAUUGGAAAUACAAAGUAAGAGAUAUUUUUGGCCAAAUUAUUUUUUUUAAGUGUUUAAAAUGCCAAAAAGAUAGGAAUAAUGACUAAGGCAGCUUUAAAUAAUAUAUACUCAAAAGGGGAUUGACUGUUGGGGUAGGCUCCACCCCUAAUUAUGUGUAAAUUUCAUUCCUCCCUCUGUGCUAGAAACUGGGAAACAAAAAUUAGUAAGACAGGGUUUCUGCCCUUAAGGCCCUUACCAUCUAAUGAAAGAGACGGGCUGGCCAAGCAACAGCUAAGAGUCAAGGAGAUCAUUUAAAGUUGACACAUUGGAUUUGUUUUUGUAGGCAGUAAUUCUAAGAAUGAGAAUAGCUGUGUUCCUGCCAAAGCUAAUAUGUGAGCUGUUGGUGCUCUAAGGCAUAAUUCAAAUAGUAAAUAAAACCAAUCCUCAGACAGAUAACUGAAAACACUGCAUUGGUUACCAAUCCUUGUUCCUCAGGCAAAAAACUACUAUACUAUUUCCUGAAUGUAUUGAAUUUGGUGGCUUAAAAUGAUGUUUUCCAGGUUGUUCUAUCGAUUCUGUUUUUAGAAAGUUGUUCUAC